rnacentral:misc_RNA from 1 species
GAUGAAGAACGUAGCGAAAUGCGAUAAGUAAUGUGAAUUGCAGAAUUCAGUGAAUCAUUGAAUCUUUGAACGCACAUUGCGCCCCUUGGUAUUCCGAGGGGCAUGCCUGUUCGAGCGUCAUUAUAACCCUCAAGCUCAGCUUGGUGUUGGGGCCUGCUGCACUGGCAGCCCUUAAAAUCAGUGGCGGCGCCAUCUGGCUCUAAGCGUAGUAAUUCUUCUCGCUAUGGAGUCCUGGUGGAUGCUUGCCAUCAACCCCCAAUUUUUCUAUGGUUGACCUCGGAUCAGGUAGGGAUACCCGCUGAACUUAAGCAUAUCAAUAAGCGGAGGA